AGUGAACGCUGGCGGUAGGCCUAACACAUGCAAGUCGAACGGCAGCACAGUAAGAUCUUGCUCUUACGGGUGGCGAGUGGCGGACGGGUGAGGAAUACAUCGGAAUCUACUUUUUCGUGGGGGAUAACGUAGGGAAACUUACGCUAAUACCGCAUACGACCUACGGGUGAAAGCAGGGGAUCUUCGGACCUUGCGCGAUUGAAUGAGCCGAUGUCGGAUUAGCUAGUUGGCGGGGUAAAGGCCCACCAAGGCGACGAUCCGUAGCUGGUCUGAGAGGAUGAUCAGCCACACUGGAACUGAGACACGGUCCAGACUCGUACGGGAGGCAGCAGUGGGGAAUAAUGGACAAUGGGCGCAAGCCUGAUCCAGCCAUACCGCGUGGGUGAAGAAGGCCUUCGGGUUGUAAAGCCCUUUUGUUGGGAAAGAAAAGCAGCAGGUUAAUACCCCGCUGUUCUGACGGUACCAAAAGAAUAAGCACCGGCUAACUUCGUG
rnacentral:rRNA from 1 species